GGGGCUGUAGCUCAGUUGGGAGAGCGCCUCGUUCGCAAUGAGGAGGUCAGCGGUUCGAUCCCGCUCAGCUCCACCA
rnacentral:tRNA from 4 species